rnacentral:rRNA from 1 species
UACAGAGGUCCCAAGCGUUGUUCGGAUUCACUGGGCGUAAAGGGUGCGUAGGUGGUCGGGUAAGUCUGAUGUGAAAUCUCCGAGCUUAACUCGGAAAUGGCAUUGGAUACUAUUCGGCUAGAGGGUUUGAGGGGGGGCUGGAAUACUUGGUGUAGCAGUGAAAUGCGUAGAUAUCAAGUGGAACACCAGUGGCGAAGGCGAGUCCCUGGAAAACUCCUGACACUGAGGCACGAAAGCUAGGGGAGCAAACAGG